rnacentral:lncRNA from 1 species
CAACUCUUCUGGAAAUAGUGCUGUACCUUUAUCAGAAUUCUAGUCACUUAUUCAAUGGUGCAUAUAUUUAUAUCUGAAACUCAAUGUGACAAACCUUUCUAGCUCGCAGAAGACACCACCCUGGUUGGCUCGCCUGAUUUAAAAAUGAGAAUAAGAGAUAAUAAGAUUGAAUUUAGGAACAUGGAAAUGAACGAGGCUGCAGAUCUGGAAGUUAAUUUGUAUUUUGUAGUACUUGGAAUACUGACAUUACUUGCGACAGUAUUAUCUGUGAUUUGCUGCCGAAAGAGAAAACGUCACAGAAAUGAGCCAAAUGAUAUUCCCAUUUCAGUUAUAGUGGACAGUGAUAAGAAGCAAAAAGAACAAGAACAUCUGCUGACAGAAGAUACUGAUGGAAAACAUGAAUCUGGACCCAGAACCACACAACGCAGUCAAUGUGAAGGUGAAGAAAAAGAGGAGAGACAGAAUCUAGAGGAAGAACUGAGAAAAGAAAAAGAGGAGAGACAGAAUCUAGAGGAAGAACUGAGAAAAGAAAAAGAAGAGGGACAGAAUCUAGAGGAAGAACUGAGAAAAGAAAAAGAGGAGAGACAGAAUCUAGAGGAAGAACUGAGAAAAGAAAAAGAAGAGGGACAGAAUCUAGAGGAAGAACUGAGAAAAAAGGAUAGACAGAAUCAAGAGGAGAGACAGAAACUAGAGGAAAAUGUGAGAAAAGAAAAAGAGGAGAGACCGAAUCAAGAGGAAGAACUGAGAAAAGAAAAAGAGGAGAGACAGAAUCUAGAGGAAAAACUGAGAAAAGAAGAGAAGAGACAGAAUCUAGAGGAAGAACUGAGAAAAGAAAAAGAGGUGGGACAGAAUCUAGAGGAAGAACUGGGAAAAGAAAAAGAGGAGAGACAGAAUCUAGAGGAAGAACUGGGAAAAGAAAAAGAGGAGAGAAAGAAUCUAGAGGAAGAACACAGAAUCUAGAGGAAGAACUGAGAAAAGAAAAAGAGGAGAGACAGAAUCUAGAGGAAGAACUGAGAAAAGAAAAAGAGAAGGGACAGAAUCAAGAGGAGAGACAGAAUCUAGAGGAAGAACUGAGAAAAGAAAAAGAGAAGGGACAGAAUCAAGAGGAGAGACAGAAUCUAGAGGAAGAACUGAGAAAAGAGGAGAGACAGAAUAAAGAGGAGAGACGGAAACUUGAGGAAGAACUGAGAAAAGAAAAAGAGAAGAGACAGAAUCUAGAGGAAAAGCUGAGAAGAGGAGAAGAGCAAAAACCAAAAGGUAAAUCUAAUAUACUUCAAUCCAGCUAAUGAUUGCACAAAUACUCCUUUUAUACUCUUGAUACCCUCACCUGUUACCAAUUCCCUUGUUUAUUGUGGCAUGACAGAAUCAAGAGGAGAGACAGAAUCUAGAGGAAGAACUGAGAAAGGAGGAGAGACAGAAUAAAGAGGAGAGACAGAAACUAAAGGAAAAACUGAGAAAAGAAAAAGAGGAGAGACGGAAACUUGAGGAAGAACUGAGAAAAGAAAAAGAGAAGAGACAGAAUCUAGAGGAAAAGCUGAGAAGAGGAGAAGAGCAAAAACCAAAAGGUAAAUCUAAUAUACUUCAAUCCAGCUAAUGAUUGCACAAAUACUCCUUUUAUACUCUUGAUACCCUCACCUGUUACCAAUUCCCUUGUUUAUUGUGGCAUGUUGAAUGGUGUAAGUUAAAUAUUCUAUAAAUGUUUUACUUCUCUCUUUUUUUGGCCUCGGUCGCAAGUGUUUUUUUUUUUUUGAGUGCGUUGUUUCUCUCAGAUGCACCUGACAUAUGCACAAGAACAACAUUUCAAGCAAAGUUCUCUGUUAUGUCACCAAGACAAAUUCCUUGUGUGUGCCUUUGGCUUGCUUAGUUGGGGACGCGUGACUGAUUG